rnacentral:tRNA from 1 species
AAGUUGCAGGUCAAACGGGGUCUGAGCUAUAUGCAAUGGGCGCCUUCUAAGCGCUUGGCCGCAGGUUCGAGUCCUGCCGGGG